rnacentral:lncRNA from 1 species
UCAGUUUCUAACGGAGCAGCCAACCAGCUAAUGGUUGUGGGGGGCGGCUAUUUAUAGCAUGGGAGCAUCCCGACAUGAUUUGACAUUAAUAUUCUUAAAUAAUAUGAGCGUUGGUGUGGAUAAGACCAAUGAUGUGGCGCGACUUGCGGUAACGGUCGGGACCCUCAACUGUGAGAGUCAUCAUGUCUCUCAUAUUCCUCACUUGAGGCUUUUGGUAGGAUUAGGCUUGGGUUGAGUAUCAUGAGGAACUUCAUUCCAACGUGUUAUUUUGACCCCCUUUAACAGUACGGUGUUCCUAUGACUCAAGAGUGAAGAAAAUAAAACAAACAGAAUAAAUCUUCAUGCUUCAAAA